AAAGCACCAUACAACUCCACUGGCCAACUAGGCCCUAACGUAGAGAUCAAAACAGGCCAACUAGGCUCUAACGUAGAGAUCAAAACAGGCCAACUAGGCCCUAAUGUAGAGAUCAAAACAGGCCAACUAGGCUCUAACGUAAAAAUCAAAACAGGCCAACUAGGCCCUAAUGUAGAGAUCAAAACAGGCCAACUAGGCUCUAACGUAGAGAUCAAAACAGGCCAACUAGGCCCUAAUGUAGAAAUCAAAACAGGCCAACUAGGCUCUAACAUAGAAAUCAAAACAGGCCAACUAGGCUCUAACAUAGAAAUCAAAACAGGCCAACUAGGCUCUAACGUAGAGAUCAAAACAGGCCAACUAGGCCCUAAUGUAGAAAUCAAAACAGGCCAACUAGGCUCUAAUGUAGAAAUCAAAACAGGCCAACUAGACUCUAACGUAGAGAUCAAAACAGGCCAACUAGGCUCUAACGUAGAGAUCAAAACAGGCCAACUAGGCUCUAACGUAGAGAUCAAAACAGGCCAACUAGGCCCUAAUGUAGAGAUCAAAACAGGCCAACUAGGCUCUAACGUAAAAAUCAAAACAGGCCAACUAGGUUCUAACGUAGAGAUCAAAACAGGCCAACUAGGCCCUAAUGUAGAAAUCAAAACAGGCCAACUAGGCUCUAACGUAGAAAUCAAAACAGGCCAACUAGGCUCUAACGUAGAGAUCAAAACAGGCCAACUAGGCCCUAAUGUAGAAAUCAAAACAGGCCAACUAGGCUCUAACGUAGAAAUCAAAACAGGCCAACUAGGCUCUAACGUAGAGAUCAAAACAGGCCAACUAGGCCCUAAUGUAGAAAUCAAAACAGGCCAACUAGGCUCUAACGUGGAGAUCAAAACAGGCCAACUAGGCUCUAACGUAGAGAUCAAAACAGGCCAACUAGGCUCUAACGUAGAGAUCAAAACAGGCCAACUAGGCCCUAAUGUAGAGAUCAAAACAGGCCAACUAGGCUCUAACGUAAAAAUCAAAACAGGCCAACUAGGUUCUAACGUAGAGAUCAAAACAGGCCAACUAGGCCCUAAUGUAGAAAUCAAAACAGGCCAACUAGGCUCUAACAUAGAAAUCAAAACAGGCCAACUAGGCUCUAACGUAGAGAUCAAAACAGGCCAACUAGGCCCUAAUGUAGAAAUCAAAACAGGCCAACUAGGCUCUAACAUAGAAAUCAAAACAGGCCAACUAGGCUCUAACGUAGAGAUCAAAACAGGCCAACUAGGCCCUAAUGUAGAAAUCAAAACAGGCCAACUAGGCUCUAACGUGGAGAUCAAAACAGGCCAACUAGGCCCUAAUGUAGAGAUCAAAACAGGCCAACUAGGCUCUAACGUAAAAAUCAAAACAGGCCAACUAGGCCCUAAUGUAGAGAUCAAAACAGGCCAACUAGGCUCUAACGUAGAGAUCAAAACAGGCCAACUAGGCCCUAACGUAGAAAUCAAAACAGGCCAACUAGGCCCUAAUGUAGAAAUCAAAACAGGCCAACUAGGCUCUAACAUAGAAAUCAAAACAGGCCAACUAGGCUCUAAUGUAGAGAUCAAAACAGGCCAACUAGGCCCUAAUGUAGAAAUCAAAACAGGCCAACUAGGCUCUAACGUAGAAAUCAAAACAGGCCAACUAGGCUCUAACGUAGAGAUCAAAACAGGCCAACUAGGCUCUAACGUAGAGAUCAAAACAGGCCAACUAGGCUCUAACGUAGAGAUCAAAACAGGCCAACUAGGCCCUAAUGUAGAGAUCAAAACAGGCCAACUAGGCUCUAACGUAGAAAUCAAAACAGGCCAACUAGGCCCUAAUGUAGAAAUCAAAACAGGCCAACUAGGCUCUAACGUAGAAAUCAAAACAGGCCAACUAGGCUCUAACGUAGAGAUCAAAACAGGCCAACUAGGCUCUAACGUAGAGAUCAAAACAGGCCAACUAGGCUCUAACGUAGAGAUCAAAACAGGCCAACUAGGCCCUAAUGUAGAGAUCAAAACAGGCCAACUAGGCUCUAACGUAGAGAUCAAAACUAGGCCCUGGGAUCCAAAAGUCAUUUAUUAUCAGGAGUUUAUUCAGGAGAUACAUUCAGAUCACAUGAUUUGUAACAUAGUACCGAAAAAGAAAAGAUGA
ensembl:lncRNA